UUGGGAAGAUGGGCAGGUUCUGAACAAUCAGAGUCAACAUGGAGUUGAUCGAUGUCAUAUCCAUGGGCUCUUGGAUGCCCAAUAGUUGGCAUUGGAGGAGCAUUUGGAUGCAGACUAAGUGGCCUAGGCUCUUUAUUGUGUGGUUCAAACCCUUUUUCACCACUUGAUCCAGAUAUGCUGGAUUUUGGAUGACCAAUGUUACUGGCUGUUCGCCAACUUUGAUUUGGAGGGAGAGGGACGCUCCUUGCAGUGCCAGCUCUAUCCACGACGAUGGUAGGUGAUCUGGAAGUACUGGAGUUGUCACCAAAACCAAAUUUGGGGCUUCCAUUUGUUGUUCGGAGGAUGGUGGCUGAGCCAUUUUGAGGAGGAGGAGGAGGAAUAACAGAAGUGGUAGAAGCUUUGGCGGUGGGAUUAAUGGUUAAAGAGAGAGAGCCAUUAAUUUUAGAAGGGGAGGCGGAUGGAUGACCUGAGGGGACGUCCCUUGUCAAUUCAUCUGUAGAGUGGUGAUGAUUACUCUCUACUGGGUAGGGGAUGCCUAGGAGGGAAGCCUCAGUGGUAGUGGUUUCCAUGGGAGUUGCGCAGGAAAGCUUUUGCUCCAUAGUAAUGGAGUUACUUCGCUGGGUCCUUUUCCAUUAAUGGGAUUUACCCGCUAUGUCAGGGGAAAUCUCUUAGGAUAUAUGGCGGCCAGAGUAUGUUCAGUAGUCUGUUGUGGAGGACAUUACAAGAAAUUAAUGGUGUCCUUAAUGGUGGUAGUUGGGUGUUCUUGGGGAGAGGUACAAAAUUUGGCUCUCAUUUUUUCACAGAAAGGAAGCUGUCCGCCACAAAUCAAGGGCCUUCGUGAAGAGCUUUGUUCAUAUUUUCCAAUUGAUUGAAUUUGGCUAUGUAGAAGUCUCAUCCCAAGUCUAUGAGAUUUAGGGGUUCAGUUGGCUUCCACAUGUCGGUUAAUUUGUUCUUUCAAGUAGUUGUGGGCAACUUUUUUCCCAAAUAGCUUCACGAUUUCCAGGGGAGGUAAUGUCUUUUUUUUUCUUCCUCAGUGAGGAUAUGAUAGGGCCAAGUGAUGUGUCUGUCUCGUGUUCCUCUUGAAAUUCACACAUUGAGUAUGAUAGAUUGAGCUCCUUUCCUUUGUUUAAGAGGAUCUCUCUAAACGACUCAUUCCUCUUCCAUUGCAUUUUCAGGUACAUCUGGUGGUUUUGGAGGUAGGAAUUGAUUUGUCAUGUUGGGGUUCUUCGGGGACUGUUAUCCAGAGAGAAAAACUCAGAACAAUUUGUUUUUCUUUUUUUCUACUCCAACAACUCACUAGAAUACAUUUUUUCUUACUUUAUUCUUUGCAAUUAAUUCUAUUUCUCUUUUCUUUUUAUAGUUUGUCGCCAUUGUUGCUUUGUUAGAAAAAAAAUAUUGUUCCUCCACAUAUUUAGUUUAUACCAUCUUUAUUUUUAGUCCCAUUUUUAAA